rnacentral:rRNA from 1 species
GAUGAACGCUGGCGGCGUGCCUAAUACAUGCAAGUCGAGCGAACGGACGAGAAGCUUGCUUCCCUGAUGUUAGCGGCGGACGGGUGAGUAACACGUGGAUAACCUACCUAUAAGACUGGGAUAACUUCGGGAAACCGGAGCUAAUACCGGAUAAUAUUUUGAACCGCAUGGUUCAAAAGUGAAAGACGGUCUUGCUGUCACUUAUAGAUGGAUCCGCGCUGCAUUAGCUAGUUGGUAAGGUAACGGCUUACCAAGGCAACGAUGCAUAGCCGACCUGAGAGGGUGAUCGGCCACACUGGAACUGAGACACGGUCCAGACUCCUACGGGAGGCAGCAGUAGGGAAUCUUCCGCAAAGGGCGAAAGCCUGACGGAGCAACGCCGCGUGAGUGAUGAAGGUCUUCGGAUCGUAAAACUCUGUUAUUAGGGAAGAACAUAUGUGUAAGUAACUGUGCACAUCUUGACGGUACCUAAUCAGAAAGCCACGGCUAACUACGUG